rnacentral:rRNA from 1 species
AGGCCUAACACAUGCAAGUCGAACGGCAGCCAGUAAGAGCUUGCUCUUAUGGGUGGCGAGUGGCGGACGGGUGAGGAAUACAUCGGAAUCUACUCUGUCGUGGGGGAUAACGUAGGGAAACUUACGCUAAUACCGCAUACGACCUACGGGUGAAAGCAGGGGAUCUUCGGACCUUGCGCGAUUGAAUGAGCCGAUGUCGGAUUAGCUAGUUGGCGGGGUAAAGGCCCACCAAGGCGACGAUCCGUAGCUGGUCUGAGAGGAUGAUCAGCCACACUGGAACUGAGACACGGUCCAGACUCCUACGGGAGGCAGCAGUGGGGAAUAUUGGACAAUGGGCGCAAGCCUGAUCCAGCCAUACCGCGUGGGUGAAGAAGGCCUUCGGGUUGUAAAGCCCUUUUGUUGGGAAAGAAAUCCAGCCGGCUAAUACCUGGUUGGGAUGACGGUACCCAAAGAAUAAGCACCGGCUAACUUCGUGCCAGCAGCCGCGGUAAUACGAAGGGUGCAAGCGUUACUCGGAAUUACUGGGCGUAAAGCGUGCGUAGGUGGUCGUUUAAGUCCGUUGUGAAAGCCCUGGGCUCAACCUGGGAACUGCAGUGGAUACUGGACGACUAGAGUGUGGUAGAGGGUAGCGGAAUUCCUGGUGUAGCAGUGAAAUGCGUAGAGAUCAGGAGGAACAUCCAUGGCGAAGGCAGCUACCUGGACCAAC